GGUGGCUUGAGAAAGUCCCUAAAAAUCAUCAUUCAUCUGACCACGACCCAGGUGGAGGACAGCGACGGAGUGCGAAAUCUGACUGUGGCCGAGGACCAUCACCUGGAAGAUACUGGAGCAGAGACUCUGAGUCCAGACGGGAUUACAGUCCAUGUGAAAGUCCGGUCCCAAGUCCAAAAUUUGACUACAGCCCCAGAAACAGUCCUCAUCCCAGCCCAGAAUACAGUCCAUGCCCCAGUCCAGGAAUUAGCCUUGUGCCGAGCCCAGUGCCAAGUGUAUGUCCAAGUCCAGGAGACAGCCUCCAAGGGAGUCGAAGUCCCAGCCCUUUACCUUUACACCCUCCCAGAAGCCCCAGUCCAAGUCUUUCAUCCACCGCAGUACCUAGCCAAGGUACAUAUCCUCAGGUACAGCCACCUCAAAAAGAAAGUCCAAGGCAUAUUGCAAGGCCAACCGUUACCUCUAAUCCAGCACAUCAUCCCAAAGUAAGGCCAUGGGUACCUCUGGACCAUAGCGCCAACCAGAGAAAGGAGUUUAGACCCAAAGACUCUAGAUCCAGAGACUCUCGAUCCAAAGACUCUAGACCUGGUCCUCCCCAACAACCCCAUCAUUCCGAACACAACUCAACAGAAAAGUCACACAAAGAUCUCACACACAAACCUGAAGCCAAAAACUCUGAAACCACAUGCAAGCAAAGGUUUAACUCACCUUCAAACCCCAUUUCAAAGCAUUUGUCAAAGCAAAGACCAAGCGUUAGCCCAAAACCACAAGCCAGGCACUCAUCUACAACUGACCAUAGUAUUGAACAUAAUCACAGAAGCAAUGAACCUACAGGGGUGUCAAUCCACAGUUCACACUCCAAAUCAGGCCAUUCAUCUCAUUUUAAUACUCUAAAGAGUUCCGAACGUGGUCCCUCGUCAAAAUCCAGGGACUCAUCCCGAAGCGAAGUCAACAGUCGAUCUAGUCACAGCUUGAAGACUAAAUCUUUCCCGGAUACAAAGCAGUCCAUCUCCAAACAGACUUCCCAACAGAGUUCAAGCCCAAAGCCCAAGGUCAAACUAGGGGAUGCCCCAGUGCCAAGAACCGGGCAUUCACAAAAAGACCCAAAGCCCAGAGAGAGAGAGAGAGAGGUGGACAACCGAGGUAAGGCCCAGGGAGCAACCCUGGUGCAGACCAGCAAGGAGCAGAGACAAAGACUGGCGGAGGAGCAAGUAAUAAGGCGUCGCUGG
ensembl:lncRNA